AGAAUCAACGCUGGCGGCGUGCCUAACACAUGCAAGUCGAACGAGAAAGGGACUUUCGGGUCCCUAGUAAAGUGGCGCACGGGUGAGUAACACGUGACUAACCUACCCUUGAGUGGGGAAUAACUUCGAGAAAUCGAGGCUAAUUCCGCAUAAUACCUACGGGUCAAAGGAGCAAUUCGCUUAAGGAGGGGGUCGCGGCAGAUUAGCUAGUUGGCGGGGUAAUGGCCCACCAAGGCAGUGAUCUGUAUCCGGCCUGAGAGGGCGCACGGACACACUGGAACUGAAACACGGUCCAGACUCCUACGGGAGGCAGCAGUGGGGAUUUUGCGCAAGUGGGGGAAACCCUGACGCAGCAACGCCGCGUGGAGGAUGAAGUCUCUUGGGACGUAAACUCCUUUCGAUCGGGACGAUAAUGACGGUACCGAUAGAAGAAGCCCCGGCUAACUUCGCGCCAGCAGCCGC
rnacentral:rRNA from 1 species